rnacentral:rRNA from 1 species
UACGUAGGGGGCAAGCGUUGUCCGGAAUUAUUGGGCGUAAAGAGCGUGUAGGCGGUCCGGUAAGUCAGCUGUGAAAGUCAAGGGCUCAACCCUUGAAUGCCGGUUGAUACUGUCGGGCUAGAGUCCGGAAGAGGCGAGUGGAAUUCCCGGUGUAGCGGUGAAAUGCGCAGAUAUCGGGAGGAACACCAAUGGCGAAGGCAACUCGCUGGGACGGUACUGACGCUGAGACGCGAAAGCGUGGGGAGCGAACAGG